CCAGCGUUUUCUGAACUCUCUCCCUCAAUGGCUGCUCAUAUAUAGCCAUGCUUCUAUUUCUUGCAGCUUAAUCAAAGAACAGCCAUGAGAGAUUGAGUUCAGAAAACUCUUG
rnacentral:pre_miRNA from 1 species